GCUCCUCCUUCUUUCUUUCCUUGCGCAGCAGACACGGAAGCUGCCCCCAGGCCAGGAAACAUCGCCGCAGCACCCGUCUGAAGUGCAGGCAGAUGGAGGGACAGACGGGAACAGAGCAAUGCCAGUUCCUCCAUCACCCCAGAGUCCAACACCUCUUGCUCCAUCAGGUCUUGUAGGAAGCUGUUAACAGUGCUGUGUUCUUCCUCCUCAGCCAGACAGUUGUACAGAUCUAAGUAUUUUUGCACAGCUCCAGCCGCAACUUACUGCUCAGCCAAUCACCAAGAAGAGCCUGAGCUGCAAGAGGAAACCACCCAAAUAUCAUUAAGCCUGCUGCUGCACAGGUUCAGCUCUA